UACGUAGGGGGCGAGCGUUGUCCGGAGUUACUGGGCGUAGAGCGCUUGUAGGCGGUCCACCAAGUUUGGGGUGACAGUUGCCGACUUAAUCGGCAAAGUGCCUCAAAGACUGGCGGACUUGAGGGCCACAGAGGGACAUGGAACUCCAGGUGUAGUGGUGAAAUGCGUAGAUAUCUGGAAGAACACCAAAGGCGAAGGCAGUGUCCUGGGUGGUCGCUGACGCUGAGAGGCGAAAGCCAGGGGAGCGAACGGG
rnacentral:rRNA from 1 species